UAGGAAUACCCGCUGAACUUAAGCAUAUCAAA
rnacentral:rRNA from 1 species